rnacentral:lncRNA from 1 species
GUGCUGCAGGAUUUAUGCAGAAACUGUAUUUUCAGUCACUUUGGAUCUUUGUUUGACUAUGCAUUUGGACUCCGUUUAACUUGAAAUUUUGCCAAAUUUUAGCUUUGCUUGUCUACUUUAAUUCUGGAGAUUUUCACUUGAAAAUAUUGAACGAUCAAUUGUUGGUGAAUUUUUCUUUCUUACUGCCUGUUCCUGAAAAGUUUUUCAGAUUUGCAACAUAUCGUUACAAAACAAUGGAUUUGGGAUCCUUUACUCUCUUCUUUCUAUCACUGAUCUUUAACAAGUUUAUUUAAGUAUAAAUUUUAUGCUUUCAACUUAACUUUAAGUUCUGGAGAGGCAAGAUAGGUUACGUUCUUAACAAGUAUUAUCUUUGUGUGUUCUUAUCAAUGUUUCUUUUUGGAAUAAGCCCACACAUGGUAGCUCUACUCACUGCUCAGUUUUAAGAGAAAAGUUAGGCUAGGACUGAUAGUAAAUUUCUACUUUUCAUAUAGGAUUGAAGGCUCAAGUGGAGUAAGUGAAGUGAGUGAUCAAGAGGUACUUGCUGGGAGUUGUACAUAAGAGAUUCCAGGUACGGGGUCUUCACUAGUUAGUAAUUUUUGAAAAUGCUUUUCAUAUUUUUACGCAUCAUAUUGCAUUGAAAUUUUAUGUGAUGACUUGAGAGUGAAGGGAGCAAAAUGACUACCUUGGGUUUCGAUCUCCUAAACCUCCGGAGGGGCUAUACGGACUGGAGGACGUCUAACAUUCUUUGAGGUGUGGCGUCACUCCUACAUGGUAUGGCGUAAACGGCCACUCUUGCUACUUCUUGCUUGUGGUUUAAUUAAUUAUUUCAGCAAUGUUUAUUUCAGCAAGUAGUUGGCAUUAAGACCGGUCAUCAGUAUUUAGAAAAUGGGUACCCUUAGCAUGUGUUUCACUGAAAUUUCUCAUAACAAAUCUCUAUUGAUGCUUCUGAUGGUUUUUAGUUUUAUUAAAACUAAAAUCCCAUAGUUUUCAAACCUAGCUAGCGUUACUUCCUACUGAGCAUAUGAACGUGAGUGAUGCUCACCCCUACUUUUUCAAGUACUGUGCACGAGACUGAAUAGAAGUGGAACUAAAGUAGUGGCCUUGGCAUUUUGCAGCUUGUCAACUCCUUCUUUUGAGGUCUAGUUCCUGUUAUGGUGUUCUGAGGUCUUUUGCUAUAUAUAUAGUCUACUUGUCUUUAUAAUUUAGCUUUUGGAAACUAACAUCAGUUGGUUGUAUAUAUGACAUCAAAGGCUCAUUUUUGGUGUUUGGUACCUACAUUAGUCUUGACUAAUAUGGUACCAUCAGUACAGAUGUAUAUUAUAACUAUGUUUAUCUAAAUUUCCAUGUGACCAGCCUUAGCUUUAUACUAAGUUAUAAUCUUGUGUUGUAAUCAAGUUGUCCACUCUUUUGCUUCUGAGU